GAAGGGCUGCUGGAGCGCGGCCAGAGCGGACGCCGAGGCCGAGGAGGCGCCGAGAGCGAGUGAGAGCUGCUAGCCAGUUGUCACCUCUCACAGAGAGGUCCACAUUUGCUGAAAUGUAACUCUUAUCUCAUGCACUGGGAGUGAUGAACUUCACUAGGAAAUCAUCGUUCUUUCUGGUGCCUAUUGACUUCUCACAUUGUUGCCACUAUAACGCGGAUACAAGCUGAAACUCACAAUUGUUAUGUUUUGAAACUUGCUAAGGAAUUAGACGAUAUAAGCUGCAGCUCAGAAUCAGAGCAGGUCAAGUUGCUUCUUUUCAGUGAUCAUAAUCAAUUAUCCAGGAAAAGGGACAGAAGAAAUCAGGAAAAAGGAGAAUAGACUCUUUAUGCAUAGGAGCUUUAAUAUAUAGUUGACACUUGAACAACAUGGAUCUGAACUACACAAGUCCACUUAUUGGUGGAUUUUCUUCAGCCUCUGCCACCCUUGAGACAACAAGACCAAUACCUCCUCUUUUUCCUUCUCCUCAGCCUACUCAACUUGAAGAUGGUGAGAAUGAAGACCUUUAUGAUCAUCCACUUCUACUUGUUGAAUAGUAAAUAUAUUUUUUCCUUAUGGUUUUCUUAAUAACACUUUCUUUUCUCUUGAUUACUUUAUUGCCAGAAUACAGUACAUAGUACAUAUAAUAAGCAAAGUAUGUAUUAGUUUACUGUUUAAGUGAUAGGUAAGGCUUCCACUCAACAGCAGGCAACAGCCAGGUGUUGUGACACAUGCCUGUAAUCCUAGCAUUUUGGGAGGCCGAGGUGGAGGAUCGCUUGAGCCCAGGAGUUCAAGACCAGCCUAAGUAACAUAGUGAGACCCCCAUCUCCACAAAAAAUUAAAAUACCUAAUCAUGGUGGUGCAUGCCUGCAAUCCCAGCUACUCAGGAACCUACAAUAGGAGCCAAAAAGGUGGAGGUUACAAUGAGCCAUUAUUGCACUACUGCACUGCACUCCUGCCUGGGAGACAGAGUGAGACCUUGUCUCAAAACACUACAACAAACAACAACAACAGCAACAAAAAUCAGUAGGUAUUAAUAGUUAGGUUUUUUGGGAGUCAGAAGUUAUACACAGAUUUUGACUGUGCAGGGGAUCAGCGCUCCUAACGCCUGCAUUCUUCAAGGGUUACCUGUAUUCUUGAUACAAGUUCUCCUUCAGAUUUAAGUAUUAUAGAUAUUUUUCCAGUCUAUAGCUUACCUAUUCAUUUUCUUAAUAAUGUCUUUUGAUUGAUUUUUAAUUUUUAACUUUGGUGAAUUCCAGUUGUAUACUUUUUUUAUGAUUAGCAUUUUUGUGUCCUAUGAAACUGUUGCCUUCCUCAAUGUCACUAAAUUCUCUUAGGUUUUCUUCUAGCAAGUUUAUGUUUCAAAUUUUCACCCUUAGGUCUAUAAUUCGUCCCAAAUUUAUUUUUGUCUGUAAAGCAAUGUCACGAUUCAUUUUUUUUCUCAAUAUAAUUACCCAGUUGUUUCAAAACUGGUUAUUAAAGUUUUUCUCUUAAUCAUUGAAUUUUCUUGGCACCAAAUUAUUAACUCUUGACAAAAAUAAUUGACCCUUAAGUAAGCAGACAGACAAGCAGUGCUUCUAUUUUAUAGCAAUGUAAAUAAUACACAACUUACACAAAGACUUUUUAGAAGCUAACUAACAGUGGUCCUAUCUAAGUACGUACACCAGAUUUUUUAUAACCACUUUUAAAAUAAAAGUAUUUAGAUUUUAACACAUAGAUUAGGACAGAGAAAGCAUAUGGUGGAAUAAACUGUAUCUUUUUGGCCAGAUGGUGCUAUUUCUAGGUCAUCUUGAUAAAGAGAGGAGGCAAACAUGAAAACUUAAUGAAAAACUAUUUAUGAUGCUGGAGAGAACAUCUUGGCUUUGAGUCACUUUUAAAUCAUAGAAGAGGAUUAUUCCAUAAAAUUAUUUAUAAUGCCUAAAAUUAUUCUUUGCCCAAAUCAUAAAUUUUCAGCAUUACCAAGAAGCCAUUUAGUAUGUAUAGGGUGUUUCAGCAAGUGCAGAGAUGCCCAGGUGGUUGGGAUUCAAUACAACGAGCUGUCACGCUGCACAUUCUUGGAGUACAACCUUAAUGGGCAUUUUCCCACCUGUGCAAUUCCUCUGUUUUCACCCCACUCCAUUCAUAUUUCACAAACUACUCUAAUUAUAGUAUUUAUUAUUGACCUCAGGAAAAAGAAGUUUGAAAGGGUGGAAAAAACAUGCAUUUUGUCUCCAUGGAUAGUAAAUCACUGAGCUAUUGUUCCUUGGGAAUCCCAAUUCAUGAGAAAUUACAUAGACUUUUGCCCUAACACUAAUCAGCUGCCUGAUCUGUAAAUAUUUCAGAUCCUUGCCUGUAUCUAUUUCUCCUUGCAGAAAACUGUAAUUUAUCUAGAUUUUUCUAAUAAUUCACUGACAUUUUACUGCUAUCCAAUGAGUAAAUCAUUGUUGCUUUUGGUAUCUUAUGAUUUUGUUCUUUUGUGUCAAAGUUUAGCUAGUUUCAUCUAUCAGGUUGGAAUAAAAAAUGCAAAUUAUGACUAUACCACUUAUAUAGUUACAUGAUCUACUGACCAAAGUUAAUCAUCACUUUAAUCUUGGUAACUCAUUCAGAGCCCUAAUUGUAAUAGCCUUUGCCUGAGUUACCUAGAGAGUGGUCUCAAUAAUCCCCUUUUAUUUUUCAUGUAGAGAAAAGGGCACACAAAAUGAUAUUAUCUCGAUCACCCAGCACAUGUAUUAAACUAUAACAGACUUUUUAAAUCAUGUGUGAUCUUUUAUUUUUUGACUGAAAGGGACUAAGUUUGCUGCCCAGAGAAGUCUUUAGGGAGCAAGGAAAGGUAAGCAAAUAAACUUAUCUGGAGUCAAAGGUCUCAAGGAAAAUCUUGCUUUCUAUAAAAGGCAGACAACGUCAAGACUCAUAGAUUUUCCCAGGGCUAAAAAUCAGAGCCAAUUGCCUCCCAUCUUGAAAAGACUCAUUCAUCAUGCUGGUUGAAGUAUCACAGAUCUUGUCAAAAUAUUCAUGACUCACAUACGACCCAUCCAAAAGACAAAAGCCAACAAAAUAUUUUACCAAAUUCUAAAAUAGUGUUUGUUUUAUUAUUCUUUGUUAUUCUUCAACAAUUAUUGUUACCUUUACUAUAUGAAAUAUAAUAGCAAUUCCUUGUCUUCAUGGUCUUUCUGUUACAGACAUGUUUUACACUGAUUAUACCACUUUAGUGAAAUUCAUCAUACAUAUUCCUGAUCCAAAUUCCUUUUUUAUUAACCAUAUAUGAGAGAAAGUGGAUAUUAAAAUAAUUUUGAUGGUAAAAUAAGCGAAAAAAUAAAGCAAGCAUGGUUAAAAUGAUUAAAUUAUGGAAAAGUGACCCAUGUGUUUCAGAUAAACUGACGCUUGAGGGUUUUUGUUGUUAUUGUGGUUUAAAUUUUAUUUUAUUUUAAUUUUAAGUUCCAGGAUACAAGUGCAGGAUGUGCAGGUUUCUUACAUAGGUAAAGAUGUGCCGAAAUGGUGGUUUGCUGCACCUCUCAACCUAUCACCUAGGUAUUAAGCCCUACAUGCGUUAGCUCCCUCCCACUGCCCCUGCAGCAGAUCCCAGUGUUUGUUGUUCCCUCCCUGUGUCCAUGUGUUCUCAUUGUCCAGCUCCCACUUGUAAAUAAGAACCUACGGUGUUUGGUUUUCUGUUCCUGUUUUAGUUUGUUGAGGAUAAUGACUUCCAUGAAGCUUGAGUUUUCAUUCUACAAUUUACUGAAUGACAUUUGAGCAGCUAGCUGACUUUUUAAUGCCUUGAUUUUAAUAAUUCAAUGAGUUAUUGGGUGAGAUAAUUUAGAACAGCAUACAUGAUAUCGUUAUUAUUAGUCAAUAAAAUGCUAUUUAUCUUAUUUAUUACUCAUAACAAAAAUAUGUAUAUGACCCUUCGCUAUGUUUGAAUAUGUGAUAUAUUGAAUUGAAUUCACUGUGAGGCUUCAGUAGGUACCUAUAAUAUUCAAAUAUGUUACCUGAAAGCUGUGAAAAAUAUAUUUUUAAAAAUUAGAUUUACAUGCAGUCAAGUUUUCUUUUGAUGACACACUCUCUUGAUAUAUACUAAGUUUUAUACUUGGAAUCUUUCACUUUUAUCCUUACUCAGAAACGUGAAUAUUAAGAAUCAGUAGAGCCAGCUCUUCUACAUGUUCCCUGCCAAUUGCUAUCUUGCCUACUUUUAAAACACCUCUAACUUGAGAAAAUGAAAACCCACAAACUAACAAUUGUUCCAGGGAAGUCCAUGGCAUCACUUGGAACUUUUCAUCAUUAGUCCCAGUUACACUCUUUUGUGUUGUAUACAACAUUGGCAUAUACUCUAGUCAUCUGUAUGCCAAGUUAAAUGAGACUUCAUUCAGCAACCAGUAAUAUGUCAUGCAUCAGAAGUCUCUCUCAUCAUAUUGCUUAUCACCAUCAAAUAGUUUCCAUUUUGUCUUUAUUCCUUAAAAAUUGUCAUGCUUAAAAUUGGUGCAAAUAAUGUAGAUACUUGUGAUUCUAUUAUAUCUACAUAUAUUUUUCUAUUUUGCAAGAGAAGUGAAUUUUAAUAAAUUAGUUCUCUUAG
ensembl:lncRNA LINC01266 long intergenic non-protein coding RNA 1266